UACCAGCACCCCGAGUGGUCGGGACGAUUAUUGGGCCUAAAGCAUCCGUAGCCGGUCCUACAAGUCUUCCGUUAAAUCCACCUGCUUAACAGAUGGGCUGCGGAAGAUACUAUAGGGCUAGGAGGCGGGAGAGGCAAGCGGUACUCAGUGGGUAGGGGUAAAAUCCUCUGAUCCAUUGAAGACCACCAGUGGCGAAGGCGGCUUGCCAGAACGCGCUCGACGGUGAGGGAUGAAAGCUAGGGGAGCGAACGGG
rnacentral:rRNA from 1 species